GGGGGGGGGGGGGGGGGGGGCGGGGGGGGGGGGGUCGGGCGGCUGGGGGGGGCGGGCUCCUGGAUUCAGCGGCGGAGGGGUGGGUAGUGCCUAGACAUCUGCCUGGUGGGUGGGGAUAGCGUCCUGAAACGGGCUCGCGUACCGCCUCCGCCCGGCGUGCUAAAUGUGUUGCUCUUCGCCCCUCACGCUAUCAGACGACCCUAGGUCGUCUGCGCUAACUGGUGGGGUAAAGGCCUACCGAGGCGGAGAUCCGUAACGGCUCUGAGAGGAUGAUCAGUGCCACUGGGACUGAGACACGGUCCAGACUCCUACGGGAGGCAGCAGUGGGGAAUAUUGGACAACGGGCGAAAGCCUGAUACAGCCAUGCCGCGUGUGUGAAGAAGGUCUUCGGAGUGUAAAGCACUUUAAGUUGGGAGAAAGGGCAGUAAGUUAAUACCUUGCUGUUUUGACGUUACCAAGAGAAUAAGCACCGGCUAACUUCGUG
rnacentral:rRNA from 1 species